UUCUGCCCAGUGCUCUGAAU
rnacentral:ncRNA from 2 species